GUAUGCAAAAUAGUUUAGCUUAGAUUAGCUAUAGUAGCUUGGCUAACGUUAUCUAGUAGGAAACGAGCAAAGUAAAAGUUGGGUGAUGGGCUUUUAACUGUUUGUCACGUUGAGCCUGCAAUGUUGGAUUUGAUCUCAACGCGACAGUACUUUGAUAAUGCAACAAUCUGUGUUUGUUUGUUAUUUCACACUCGAGUGCUGUCUAUUUGACCAGAGUGCAGGCUAGAAGAAUCCGACGGAACGUGAGACCCUGCGGAACAUCUCGAGAAGGCUACGCGCUAGGCUAGCUAGCUAGCUACCUACCCAUUUGGGUGCGGGUUGGAGGGUCAUAUAAUAACAAAAUAUCGAAGAUUGUUUUAAGUUAAACAGUUCAUAAAAUAAUGCCCAGCAAAAAGAAGAAAUACAAUGCGAGAUUCCCCCCGGCCAGGAUUAAGAAGAUUAUGCAGACUGAUGAAGAGAUAGGCAAAGUGGCUGCCGCCGUUCCUGUCAUCAUAUCACGAGCUCUGGAGCUGUUCCUGGAGUCUCUCCUGACGAAAGCCUGUCAAGUCACCCAGUCCCGGAACGCAAAAACAAUGACGACGUCACACUUAAAACAGUGCAUUGAGCUGGAACAGCAGUUUGACUUCCUGAAGGACCUGGUAGCGGCAGUGCCUGACAUGCAGGGCGAGGGAGAGGACAACCACUCAGAGGGAGGGGAAAAGGUUGCACGCAGAGGUCGAAAGCCGGGGUCAGGCCGCAAGAACGGAGGAGUUGGCUGCAAGGGCAAGGACAAGAAGCUAUCAGGCACAGAGUCAGAGCAAGAGGAUGACUCCGAGGACAGCGAGACAGACGAGGAUGAGGAAGACGGGUCUCAGUCAAGCACAAACCUGCAGCCACAAUCCCGAUUCCACAGCCCAGACACCAUGCCACCCCAGUACCUCCACAUGGGCACCGCACAAGGGGGGCCUGGCCAUGCCUCUGGGCUCCUUUGCCCCCCACCCCUCGCUGAUGGGCACCGCACCCCCGCCUCCCCCCUCCAUGCCGCACAAAGAUGAAGACGAUGAUGAUGAAGACUAUGACUCUUAGCUCCCCCCUGCUCUUUUUACCUUUAAUUUUCUCUUAAGUUCUUCUCUUCUGUGGCUGCAUUGAGAAAGAGGUGAGUCUGGGCAGAUGCUCACAUGCGGCCCAUUGUUAAGGAAAAGCCUCCAACAACUGGCAGUAAGGUGUGUAGACAUGACAGCUGGCACCACUGAAGACGAGUAAUCGGUUGUAUAUUGUGUUUAAUUAUUUGUUAUUUUAUUGUGGAGGGAAAAAAAAAUGAACCAGGUUGUUUUAUAAAGACAGGUGGUUGUUCUAUUUGGAGUAAAAAUGUCAGUUGAUGUUCUGAAAGGCCCCCAGCCCAAGUACCGGUUUGAUUAAGUCCCCCAUUGUAGUUUGCACUUUGGUUAUUCUCUCAUCUCUGUUUUCUGCAUACGUCAUUGGUGUUCAACAGACAUAUCACUCCAGCUCCAUGUCCACUUCUUCAACGUUUGCUCUGGUUCAGUUGAGAUGAUCCAACUGUAAUGCCUGUGCAGCCUACGUAGCCUCAUAGAAUACUGUACACCUUCUGGAGAUGAAGUCAGAGCAGCGGUCGGUCGUAUUUUGAAAAGGGAUCAGCACUUUCCUAUAGCAAAGGGAGGUGAGAUGAUUGUCUGUGGGGAUUCUGAAUUUGGCAGAGCGGUUAGAUCUUGGUCUUGCUUUCGGAGUUGGCCAUUAUUGCACGUGGCUAUUCCAAUUGUUAGGGUGUGGGUAAGGAGAUGUGUUUUACUGUAGGUUAUGAAUUCUUCUCAAUGUGACUUGAGUUGAGGAUUUUCCCCUUUUUUAAUGCAACUUUUUAUGACGAUAAUUGAUCCUCCUGAAGACCUUGGCCAUGAGCUUACGUCAACCAUAUUCACAUGUCAUUAUGCUAAUGAUUACAACUCCAAUUGGUUGUUUUUGUUGAUUUGAAAUACGAGUGACGAGUCACUGCUUUUGAGGUAAAAUAUGUUGUGUUGUACCCCCCCCUCCCCAACUAUCUCCUUCUUGAAGACAGAUAUUUCUCUGCUGGCUAUUCUUAUCUGAAAUGUACUGUGAUGCUCCUCCUGGACCAUAACUUUGUUUUUAAUGUUGUUAAACCGCUCACCUUUUCGCCUAUAAUUUGUGUUCAAAAAUAUAUCGUCCCCCCCCACUUGGAAUAAAAUUCUCCUUUGUAUUGUAUUUUUUUCUUCUCUCUUUUAGAUUGUUUUUAUGUACACAUUGAAAUGCAGAGAAGGAUAGGGCUCCCGUUUCAGUGUCUCUUGAUAUGAAAUGUUUAAUGGUAGGCCGUUGAACUUGACGCUGUAUGUAAAAUUUUAACAUUAUUUUAUUUUGUAUGGGUGAAAUAAAGUUCAGAUUUCAAUAAAACACUGCCCAACUA